GAUGAACGCUGGCGGCGUGCCUAAUACAUGCAAGUCGAGCGAACGGACGAGAAGCUUGCUUCUCUGAUGUUAGCGGCGGACGGGUGAGUAACACGUGGAUAACCUACCUAUAAGACUGGGAUAACUUCGGGAAACCGGAGCUAAUACCGGAUAAUAUUUUGAACCGCAUGGUUCAAAAGUGAAUGACGGUCUUGCUGUCACUUAUAGAUGGAUCCGCGCUGCAUUAGCUAGUUGGUAAGGUAACGGCUUACCAAGGCAACGAUGCAUAGCCGACCUGAGAGGGUGAUCGGCCACACUGGAACUGAGACACGGUCCAGACUCCUACGGGAGGCAGCAGUAGGGAAUCUUGCGCAAUGGGCGCAAGCCUGACGGAGCCACGCCGCGUGAGUGAUGAAGGUCUUCGGAUCGUAAAACUCUGUUAUUAGGGAAGAACAUAUGUGUAAGUAACUGUGCACAUCUUGACGGUACCUAAUCAGAAAGCCACGGCUAACUACGUG
rnacentral:rRNA from 1 species